AUUGAACGCUGGCGGCAGGCCUAACACAUGCAAGUCGAACGAGUGGCGGACGGGAGUGUAAUGUCUGGGAAACUGCCUGAUGGAGGGGGAUCACUACUGGAAACGGUAGCUAAUCCCGCCAACCACCGGAUGUUCCCAGAUGGGAUUCGCUUGUAUGUGGGGUAAAGGCUCACCUAGGCCACGAUCCCUAGCUGGUCUGAGAGGAUGACCAGCCACACUGGAACUGAGACACGGUCCAGACUCAUACGGGAGGCAGCAGUGGGGAAUAUUGCACAAUGGGCGCAAGCCUGAUGCAGCCAUGCCGCGUGUAUGAAGAAGGCCUUCGGGUUGUAAAGUACUUUCAGCGGGGAGGCGUUACCCGCAGAAGAAGCACCGGCUAACUCCGUGCCAGCCGCCGCGGUAAUAC
rnacentral:rRNA from 1 species